rnacentral:rRNA from 1 species
CCUACGUGAGGCAGCAGUGAGGAAUAUUGGUCAAUGGGCGCGAGCCUGAACCAGCCAAGUAGCGUGAAGGAUGACUGCCCUACGGGUUGUAAACUUCUUUUAUAAAGGAAUAAAGUGAGGCACGUGUGUCUUUUUGUAUGUACUUUAUGAAUAAGGAUCGGCUAACUCCGUGCCAGCAGCCGCGGUAAUACGGAGGAUCCGAGCGUUAGCCGGUUUUAUUGGGUUUAAAGGGAGCGUAGAUGGGUUGUUAAGUUAGUUGUGAAAGUUUGCGGCGCAACCGUAAAAUUGCAAUGGAUACUGGCAGUCUUGAGUACAGUUGAGGUAGGCGGAAUUCGUGGUGUAGCGGUGAAAUGCUUAGAUAUCACGAAGAACUCCGAUUGCGAAGGCAGCUUACUAAACUGCCACUGACAUUGAUGCUCGAAAGUGUGGGUAUCAAACAGGAUUAGAUACCCGGGUAGUC